AAUCCAUAGGUUAAUGAGGCGAACCGGGGGAACUGAAACAUCUAAGUACCCCGAGGAAAAGAAAUCAACCGAGAUUCCCCCAGUAGCGGCGAGCGAACGGGGAGGAGCCCAGAGCCUGAAUCAGCAUGUGUGUUAGUGGAAGCGUCUGGAAAGGCGCGCGAUACAGGGUGACAGCCCCGUACACAAAAGCGCAUGUGCUGUGAGCUCGAUGAGUAGGGCGGGACACGUGGUAUCCUGUCUGAAUAUGGGGGGACCAUCCUCCAAGGCUAAAUACUCCUGACUGACCGAUAGUGAACCAGUACCGUGAGGGAAAGGCGAAAAGAACCCCGGCGAGGGGAGUGAAAAAGAACCUGAAACCGUGUACGUACAAGCAGUGGGAGCACCCUUUGGGUGUGACUGCGUACCUUUUGUAUAAUGGGUCAGCGACUUAUAUUCUGUAGCAAGGUUAACCGAAUAGGGGAGCCGGAGGGAAACCGAGUCUUAACCGGGCGUUAAGUUGCAGGGUAUAGACCCGAAACCCGGUGAUCUAGCCAUGGGCAGGUUGAAGGUUGGGUAACACUAACUGGAGGACCGAACCGACUAAUGUUGAAAAAUUAGCGGAUGACCUGUGGCUGGGGGUGAAAGGCCAAUCAAACCGGGAGAUAGCUGGUUCUCCCCGAAAGCUAUUUAGGUAGCGCCUCGUGAAUUCAUCUCCGGGGGUAGAGCACUGUUUCGGCUAGGGGGCCAUCCCGGCUUACCAACCCGAUGCAAACUGCGAAUACCGGAGAAUGUUAUCACGGGAGACACACGGCGGGUGCUAACGUCCGUCGUGAAGAGGGAAACAACCCAGACCGCCAGCUAAGGUCCCAAAGUCAUGGUUAAGUGGGAAACGAUGUGGGAAGGCCCAGACAGCCAGGAUGUUGGCUUAGAAGCAGCCAUCAUUUAAAGAAAGCGUAAUAGCUCACUGGUCGAGUCGGCCUGCGCGGAAGAUGUAACGGGGCUAAACCAUGCACCGAAGCUGCGGCAGCGACACUGUGUGUUGUUGGGUAGGGGAGCGUUCUGUAAGCCUGCGAAGGUGGCCUGUGAGGGUUGCUGGAGGUAUCAGAAGUGCGAAUGCUGACAUAAGUAACGAUAAAGCGGGUGAAAAGCCCGCUCGCCGGAAGACCAAGGGUUCCUGUCCAACGUUAAUCGGGGCAGGGUGAGUCGACCCCUAAGGCGAGGCCGAAAGGCGUAGUCGAUGGGAAACGGGUUAAUAUUCCCGUACUUGGUGUUACUGCGAAGGGGGGACGGAGAAGGCUAUGUUGGCCGGGCGACGGUUGUCCCGGUUUAAGCGUGUAGGUGUGUGUUCCAGGUAAAUCCGGUUCACUUUAACACUGAGGCGUGACGACGAGGCACUACGGUGCUGAAGCAACAAAUGCCCUGCUUCCAGGAAAAGCCUCUAAGCAUCAGGUAACAUCAAAUCGUACCCCAAACCGACACAGGUGGUCAGGUAGAGAAUACCAAGGCGCUUGAGAGAACUCGGGUGAAGGAACUAGGCAAAAUGGUGCCGUAACUUCGGGAGAAGGCACGCUGACACGUAGGUGAAGUGAUUUACUCAUGGAGCUGAAGUCAGUCGAAGAUACCAGCUGGCUGCAACUGUUUAUUAAAAACACAGCACUGUGCAAACACGAAAGUGGACGUAUACGGUGUGACGCCUGCCCGGUGCCGGAAGGUUAAUUGAUGGGGUCAGCGCAAGCGAAGCUCCUGAUCGAAGCCCCGGUAAACGGCGGCCGUAACUAUAACGGUCCUAAGGUAGCGAAAUUCCUUGUCGGGUAAGUUCCGACCUGCACGAAUGGCGUAAUGAUGGCCAGGCUGUCUCCACCCGAGACUCAGUGAAAUUGAACUCGCUGUGAAGAUGCAGUGUACCCGCGGCAAGACGGAAAGACCCCGUGAACCUUUACUAUAGCUUGACACUGAACAUUGAGCCUUGAUGUGUAGGAUAGGUGGGAGGCUUUGAAGUGUGGACGCCAGUCUGCAUGGAGCCGACCUUGAAAUACCACCCUUUAAUGUUUGAUGUUCUAACGUGGACCCGUUACCCGGGUUGCGGACAGUGUCUGGUGGGUAGUUUGACUGGGGCGGUCUCCUCCUAAAGAGUAACGGAGGAGCACGAAGGUUGGCUAAUCCUGGUCGGACAUCAGGAGGUUAGUGCAAUGGCAUAAGCCAGCUUGACUGCGAGCGUGACGGCGCGAGCAGGUGCGAAAGCAGGUCAUAGUGAUCCGGUGGUUCUGAAUGGAAGGGCCAUCGCUCAACGGAUAAAAGGUACUCCGGGGAUAACAGGCUGAUACCGCCCAAGAGUUCAUAUCGACGGCGGUGUUUGGCACCUCGAUGUCGGCUCAUCACAUCCUGGGGCUGAAGUAGGUCCCAAGGGUAUGGCUGUUCGCCAUUUAAAGUGGUACGCGAGCUGGGUUUAGAACGUCGUGAGACAGUUCGGUCCCUAUCUGCCGUGGGCGCUGGAGAACUGAGGGGGGCUGCUCCUAGUACGAGAGGACCGGAGUGGACGCAUCACUGGUGUUCGGGUUGUCAUGCCAAUGGCACUGCCCGGUAGCUAAAUGCGGAAGAGAUAAGUGCUGAAAGCAUCUAAGCACGAAACUUGCCCCGAGAUGAGUUCUCCCUGAGACUUAAAGUCUCCUGAAGGAACGUUGAAGACGACGACGUUGAUAGGCCGGGUGUGUAAG
rnacentral:rRNA from 1 species